UGCAUCGGAACGCGUCCUGUAAUGGGGGAUAACCUAGCGAAAGUUAGGCUAAUACCGCAUACGUCCUGAGGGAGAAAGCGGGGGCUCGCAAGACCUCGUGUUAUAGGAGCGGCCGAUGUCGGAUUAGCUAGUUGGUGGGGUAAAGGCCUACCAAGGCGACGAUCCGUAGCGGGUCUGAGAGGACGGCCCGCCACACUGGGACUGAGACACGGCCCAGACUCCUACGGGAGGCAGCAGUGGGGAAUUUUGGACAAUGGGCGCAAGCCUGAUGCAGCCAUGCCGCGUGUAUGAAGAAGGCCUUCGGGUUGUAAAGUACUUUCAGCGGGGAGGAAGGGAGUAAAGUUAAUACCUUUGCUCAUUGACGUUACCCGCAGAAGAAGCACCGGCUAACUCCGUG
rnacentral:rRNA from 1 species